AAAAUAAGCAAACAUCAAUAGUAAAUACCAUUAAAAUUUAAUAAUAUUCAGUUUAUACUUAGCAAAUUAAUCUCUUAACAUUCGUAAAGGGUCAGAGAAAGAUCAACCAUCAUGGAACCUGCCGAUGAAUCUAUCUGCACACUUAAAAUGCCGGAUCAUCAGUUAUUUACUAUAGGUUGAGAACAUCCAUUCUAGAAGGAAUUGGUGUACUACCUUUAAACCAAUCUGGCAUAUGUAACCCAACUUUAGAAGUAAAAGUUAUUUAAAAAAAAAAAAAAGGCACCUAAGAGUUUAUCUCAUUUUAAAAAUGAGAAAAGAUUCACAAAAUUGUGUAACUUUCUAAAGACAUACAGAAAAUUAGUGGUAGAGUGAGGUCUAGAACUUUGGACCACUGGCCUUUGGCUCUGGUUUUCUACCGAGUAGGAUAAAAUGAAGAUGAUUAUUUCCAUUUAUAAUGGGCUUCACAAUACAAUUCCUUUAAACAGUAACUUUCUGAAGUACUUAAAGAAUGUUUGGCUAACAGUUAUACUAUGUACAUACAACCUUAAAGAAACAUUUAGUAUGUAGGUUAAGGUAUAGCCCCAUUUUCUCCCCACUUAAAAACAUUUUUUAAAUAAGGAAGUUGUCCAUCAUGAUAAUCUGUAUCAGGACUAAGAGUAGGAACCAAUCUGAAAUUCUCCUAAGAGUAAACUGGAGUCAGCCUAUCGAUGAACAGAGACAUUAAAUGCCAUGAUAUUAAUUAGCUUAUAUAAUAAAUAACAUAUUCCCUGUUUAUUGCUACAGAAUGAAAAAAAAAAAAAAAACAGAAUUGGUGAAUUUUCCUAUUUUCUUUUUUUUUAAGACAGAGUAUAGCUCUGUUACCCAGGCUGGAGUGCAGUGUCAUGAUUGUGGCUCACUGCAGCCUCUGCCUCCCAGUUCAAGCGAGUCUCAUGCCUCAGCCUCCUGAAUAGCUGGGAUUACAGGCAUGCUCCAACAUGCCUGGCUAAUUUUUGUAUUUUUAGUAGAGACAGGGUUUCGCCAUGUUGGCCAGGCUGGUCUCAAACUCCUGGCCUCAAGUGAUUCGCCCGCCUUGGCCUCUGAAAGUGCUGGGAUUACAGGAGUGAGCCACUGCGCCAGGCCAUAUUUUUCUAUUUUCAUUUCAUUGAACUUAGGAGAAAAAAGAUUUAACUACUUUAAAACUUAAGAAUGACAUAAUCCAUGAACACCUCAAUUUUGGAGCCAUUUACAAUAGUUAUUUCUAAUAAAGUGAGUAACUGGAGUAUAUUUUUGACCAUGAUAGAUAUGAGUUUAAAAUAGACACAAAAACUUUUAGGUAACUUUAACGUUAAACAGGAUUAAAAAAAAAAGACAGACCCAAUUUUUCUGUCAGGACUGUUCUAAUUCUCUGCUCUUGAACUCUAGUUUUAUUCUAUAAUAUUUAUACAUAGCCACACAACAUUAAAUUUGACAUAUAAAAAGUAUACGUAACUGCAGGGAAUAAAGGAAGAUAGAAAAAUAAAGAAAUGAGAAUACUAUUAAUAUAAACUUGUAGGAAGUUUACCUGGAGGAUUUUAUUUUUGAUCAUUAUUCAACAUGGCAUUAAUCACUGCUAACUGUAUUGUUAUUUACGUUGUGUUUUCCUGUUUUCUAUUUCUACAGAGAACCCAAUAUUAACCUAACGACUUGUUUAAAUAAGAGCCCUUCAACAUGAUUUUAGAUAUGUCAGAGAUGUCAAUUUCAUCCCUCUAAAGAAAAUGGAAAACAGCAGUGGUGACUUUAAAAUAUGUUCUGAAGUUAUUUGACAUUACUCUUUUCAUAGGUGGAGCCUUAUUCCACGCCCCUUGAAUAUGGACCACUUAGUGACUUGCUUCUAAUGAACAGAAAGUAGUGGAAGUGUAACCUCCCAGCUAGGUAAUAAAAAUAAUCGCUUCUGCCUGCCUGCCUGCCUGUCUCUCUCCUCUCU
rnacentral:lncRNA from 10 species